AUACGGAGGGUGCAAGCGUUAUUCGGAAUCACUGGGCGUAAAGGACACGUAGGCGGGAAGCCAAGUCUGAUGUGAAAUCCUAUGGCUCAACCAUAGAACUGCAUUGGAAACUGGUUACCUAGAGUAUGGGAGGGGGAGAUGGAAUUAGUGGUGUAGGGGUAAAAUCCGUAGAUAUCACUAGGAAUACCUAAAGCGAAGGCGAUCUCCUGGAACAUUACUGACGCUAAGGUGUGAAAGCGUGGGGAGCAAACGGGAUUAGAAACCCCAGUAGUCC
rnacentral:rRNA from 1 species